UUCGCCUGGCGGAGGCAAAGCUCCCCGCGCUGUCACAGCAUUUCUUCUUCGUGUUUCUUCUGUCAGUGGGAAAGUCUGAAAUUCCUCUGAAAAACAAGAGGUCACGUCGCAGUGUUUGGGGUCUCCUUGACCUUGAAGCUGGCCCUGAAGCACCUCUUUCCUCCUACGACCCUUUGGCCGUGAGACGCCUCUUAACCUUUCAGCUCUGCGCGCAGCCAGCAGCGUCCCACCGUUUCCCAGAGCAAAGGCUGUGAAACAGGCACCACGCGUUGCACCACCUGUCAGGCAGGCAGCUGGCUGAGCGAGCUGGCCCGUCACCCUCUCCCCUCCAGCUGAACUGCUCCCGGCCCUCCAGCCCUUGAGGGUGUCUCGCUAGAGGGAAUCUCCGAGGAGAGGAUGGGGCCUGCCGGAGACCCGACCGCGGCCGCGUUUGUCCCAGUACUCUAGCUGCAACUAACUUCAUACCACCUCUAAGUGUGUCCUUUUAACUUGCUUGUACAGGAAACAACAGGAAGAGGGCUGAGUGGCUCCACCCUCCACCACUUCAUCCCAACUUCUAGUCCAGCCUUCAGUGUCUGAGUUCUGAGAACAGACUCAGGCAGAAAAUUUGUUCAGCCAGUGUCAGCUCUUUUAAGCAGGCACUUCUGAAGCAGAACGCAGCCCAUACCUAAUACACCGGGCUGCUGCUGGGGGAGGCCAACAUGAACAACGAUUCAAAUCACAGAUAGAUAACAGGGAGACGGCACAAGAAGAGAGUGCAUAUGCAGAGCUGCAAGAAGGAAAGUCCUUGCUUGACUGAAAAACAGCUGCGCAAGACUUCAGCCAUGCAGCGCUUGCCUGCAGUUGAGGUGAUCCUCAAGGUUCUCAGAAGCUUCAGAAGAUCUGAAGAGAGAGGUCGGAGUUUCUACCUUGAAUGAAGCUUUCUUCUAUAUUAGAGGAAGAAGAGAAGAAAAAUCAGGGACCUUCAGAGGUGGAGACCAGACAGAAGAAGAGUUGGAAAAAAAAUCACAAAGUGAUGGACAUGUGAUUCAGAAAGAAAAUAUUAGGACAAAAAUUCUCACAGGGAAAAGGAAGAUGGAGAAGUGUGUUCAGGUAAAAUGGGAGUGUGAAACAGAUUGGAGAAGAGGGAAAGAUAAGAAAAGGGGAAAGAUAAGAAAAACAUAUACUACUUUUUCCCGAAAACCGAAACUUCAAGUGGAAAAGUUAAAACCAUCUUAACUAUUUCCCAAGCUAAUAUUUCCAUGUAAGGAGUCCCUGAAACCUUCAGAUCAAUUGCAUGAACGCAUUUAAGUUUCAGAGGGGAAAUGCUACUAGAAUGUUUUUUUUUUCUGUUCCAGUGUGUUUCACUAAUGCAUGGUCUAAUCAGAAUAUAUGUGGAUAUCAUGUAAAAUUUUCCUUUGUUUUGCUUUCUCUGUGAGAUACAAAAAUUCUGCAGUGACUGUGCUCAGCAUUUCUCCUGAUGUGGCCUUUAAGGUCUGAGCUUUUGCAAGAAUUAGCCAGUCAUAACAAAUGGGCCAACAACCAAUCCAUAAUGAACAAACCUUUCAUCCUUGCUAUUUGCAAACUCACACGUAGUUAGUUUUUAAGAAAUAUAUUCAGGUCAUCAUUAAACUAGAAUUCUGCAACAGAAAAUAAUUAAAAUUCAAGGCAACAUCACAGAUGUCAGAAUGUGUUUAACUGAAACAUAUUAGAAAAUCUGCCAACAUUCUGAGGAAUGAAUUGCUAUACAUGUAUUCCUAUGGGAAAUUAUUAAAUUAAUUGAAAACGCUAUAAUAUGACUGAUAGCACUAUUGUAAUAGCGAGCAUCACAGUUAGUUGUUAAUCACGGUUAGAGAUUAAAUGGGGAUGGGCUGAUAAGUGUAGACUGUUUUUAUCUAAGGCAGUACUUUGCAGGAAACCUUCAUCAUUCUAAUUCAUCAUUGAACAUUAUGCAUCCAGUCCUAGAAAAGUUUCCCAUUGAAUAGUUUGGCUAAAUGCAGAAAGCCAGAUCUACAAAUGUCUGUGAUAAGGACAUUCACACAUUUUUUCUACUACGCAUGGUACUAGUUCCUUUUGCCUAUGAACAGACUGCCGGAUCAGCUUUUUGGCCCACUUCCCACAAUAAAAUAGACUAAAAUCAACGAUUGCAAAAAAUAAAUGUCACAUGCUUGUUUAAGACUUGCUAUUAAUUCUUAUGAUGCAGUAAUUUCUGAAUAAGCAAGACAGAAAGUAAAAGGAAUCCACAGAAACAGUGAUAAGCUGGUUUAUAAGAACUAAAAAAACUGAUAUGUCAUUAUUCUGAUAUGUCAUUAUUAUGUAGAAAUUCUUAUUGUUGCUGAACCAGUAUUUUUAAAAUGUGGAAUUACUUGCUAUACUUGUGAUAUAAUUUCAUGCAAAUAUCUUAAUCAACUUUCAGCUUGAUUCAGCUGUAGCAAUUCUUUAUUUUAUCUUGUUACCCCAGCAGAAAUAUAAAUGAGAAUUCACUUCACGUUCUCAAGCAAGGAACUUUGCUCAGGAAAGGCCAGGAGUACAAGAGAGAGUCCUGGCAAGCCAGAAUCAAGGUGUAUUAGGAGAGCUUGAGGUACUUUCAUGAAAUCCUUUUUAUUUAAAAAAUAUGUAUCUAAAGUCUUGCUUCACUUAGUUUAGCUAGAAUCAAAUAGAAAGGGUUAAUACAUUUCUUUUAGAACUUGUAAGCAACUUUCCAGCUUAUCUUUUGCUCACAAGCUCUCCAUAUCUUAGUUUUUCUCCCAAUCAGCCCUAAGUGCCUCCCUGCCAAUAUCUGCCUAUUUCUUUGAUGUGCUUAUUAUGCUUUAAUAGCAUUCUUUCUCUCAGACAGACAGAGAAUUCACCAAGCAGUAGUCAAGUCUCCUUUAUUUCAGUUCAGACCCAAAGAAAUGCAUUUGAUCAUGUAGCUAGAUGCUUCACCAGCUUUGCAUGUGGCCUUUGUUUUCAACUGUAUAUACCAUACAGGAACAAAAUUGAAUUUCCAUUUUUCCUGAAUGAAAGGCUUCUCUUCUAUCUACCCACUCUGAUAUCAUUUCACCUGUUCUCUAAUAAUACUCAUCUAUCUGGUAACUGUACAUUCCAUUCAGUUUAUUUUUCUAAAACAAAAAAAUGUAUAUAUAUCAAAUCACGAAGGGAGUAGAAAGAACAUACCUAAUUGCCUGGCGUAAAUUUUAAUCUGAAAAUUUCAGCUUACAAUGGAUUUUGAGCAUAUCUAUCUUGGCAUUGGACUGUCAUCUUGAACUGUUUAUUUGUGAAGGUUAAAUAGGAAACUUUUAAGAGCAUUAACUUAGGCUUUUAUUUUAAAAUGAUACUUUACUCACUAUAUUGACUUAGUUGUAUAUAUAACUGUCUCCUAAAGUUUAGGAAGGAUAGAAAGAAAGGUAGAGCUAAAAAGCUGGAGAAGGAAAAAAAAAAUCAUACCAUGCCAUAAAAUACAUCUGUUUUCUUUUUUGAAUAAAUACCUAAUGAAUCCUAAAUGUGAAAAUAAGGUAGUGAUCAUCACUAGCAGCUGAUCAUAGUUAUUAAUUUCUCAUGCUUAGAAGAAUGUUAGCACAGCCAUUUGAAAUAAUUUAAGUUGCGUACUAGUCAUAACAGAUUUCUUCAACUUUGUUUCAUCAGUUUCAUCCCCUUUGCCUCUACCUUAUUUCUUAUUUCUCUCGAUACAUCACUUCUCCUCCACCUCUAUUGUUCUUUCUUUCCCUCUUUUUUCGCUUUUUGCUGCCUUCAUAGUCAUCUUUUUCUCCUCUCCUCUCUCGUAAACAUCCUCAUGCUACUGAUUAUGUCAGUGCUGCUCACCAUUUGUGGGAAACUCUGCAUAGUCUGAAUAGCUACUGACAAAUUAAGAUCCUGGGAAGAGACAAAGCUUUCCAAAGCACUGAUCUGCUUUGUAGAAAAAAAGCGUUCCCUAGCAGCAGUGUUGGCAAUUGAUGGUGAGGUGUGUGGACAGUGGGAGAACAUCAGAGACCUCUUGGGCAUGGUCACGAUGCCCCCAAGGACCCCACAGUGCUGGAGCAUGGGGUGCUUUACAGGCAGCUAUACCUGCUGGCGGGGGCCCUGCCUGAAGGUUUUCCAAGCAGCUGCACCGAGGGAACCACUUACAACUGUACAGACCAGAACUGUUCUACAAACUGAAUGUUACAUUACUAAAUUGCUAUAAUUAUUAAUGUACGUAUGCAGUUCUUUGCAAAUGGAAAGCUUCUCCUAAGUGCUGGGAGAAUUUUGAAUAUAAUAAAGUUCUAGUACUGA